CUGUCGGAUAUAUACUCCCCUCCCCUUUCUAUCAACUUUUGUUAGUGAUAUCAUAUCAUAUAAUAUAAUAUAAUAUCCUUUUUGACUUUGCUACCAACUACUAUGAAAGCCAUGUAUGUCAAUUUCCAUUAACUCUCAUCUCACAUACAUCCCAAUGAACAAUUUUCAUGGGUUCUCAUCCAACUUUGGAGAACAAUAUGCAACAGCCUCUGCAACUGUGAGGAAGAUCUUGUCCUCACCAACUACGUUUGCAAAAUUUGAAGUGUAAAGUUUGUCUGUCACUGCAGAACCAGGAUUUGCCAGAACUAGCUGCUCAAACCAAAAACACAUCUUGGAUCAAUCUCAUUACUAAGCAAAGUCCCCAACAAGAGAGAAACCACUGCCACAGGUCCUAUUGCAAUAUCGCGGGAACUACCCAUGAAUGCAUAAAUCAGUGGUGGAACAAAGCUGGAGUCUGUAAAAGGGUAGAUCAAAAUGUAACAAGAUUUCAGUUCAACAUCCAAAAAGCUAAAAAAGAAAAACAUCUUGGGGUUGGAGAUAAAAGUCUUACAUAGUCCAUACUGUGGAGCCAAAUGUGCAAGCUUGGAGUAUCCAAUAUCCUGUUUUUCAAGCGGAGUAUUAGAACAUCAAAUAUAGGUCAAGUAAUUUGAAUUAUAAUUGUGUUAUUGCUAUGCAAUGAAAUAUAAGUAAAAAAAUACAUGUUAUGAUGUAUCUGGUUCAAUACUCUUAUUUGGUCUUACACUAGAUACGUUUACUUUUUUGUUUAUAUUUCAUCUAGAGGGAGUGCUAUUUUAGGUGCUCUUUACAAUCUCAAAAUCAGCAUGAUAAAGCAAACUUUACCUGAGGUAUGCAAAGACUUGCAAUAGUGAGACCAGCUAUUAAAUCUCCUCUAAAUUUUUGAAGGAUCUUAGAGGAUCAUCAGCAAAGAAUGUUUCUUUUACAGUGUAUUGGAAUUCCUUGAAUAAGUUCUGUCUUGGAGGAAUUGCAACUUUGUGUGCGUAUGGUGCUU